rnacentral:rRNA from 1 species
AUGGCGACUUUAGUCCGUCAUGACUCGAAUAAUACACGGUACUCAUGGUUGUGGGUUAGCCAUAUCAGCCCUAAGAACUCCAAAUGGCUUCAGGAGAAUCUUACUGACAUGGAUAUGAUGGUCAAGGCGAUGAUAAAACUUAUCAAUGAAGAUGCUGAUUCUUUUGCAAGGAGAGCAGAAAUGUACUAUAAAAAACGCCCUGAGCUCAUGAAACAUGUGGAAGAGUUUUACAGAGCAUACCGUGCCUUAGCAGAAAGGUACGAUCAAGCAACUGGUGCACUCCGGCAGGCCCAUCGGACAAUUUCAGAGGAGUUUCCAAAUCAGAUGCCAUCAAUGUCUGAGGACUCGCCCUCCUCAAGCCAAGAAGGGGAGCCACGUACACCAGAAAUGAUGACACCCUUGCGUGCACCUUUUGAACCUGAUGAUCUGCACAGGGAUGCACUUGGUGUUUCACCACCGCUAUUUACUGUCAAGAGGAAUGGUACACACCCUGAUGAAAUAGGUUCUUUAUCAAGUCGCAAAGGUCUCAAACAGUUCACUGAUUUGUUUGAAAGCUGUGAUAGUGCCCAUCGUCUCAAUUUCUCUGAUGGGAAAGUAAGAAAAGGCCUCAGUUUUGAAAGCCCAGAUGCUAAAGUGAAACAAGAUGCAAGUGAUGACAUCAUGAAGUUGCAAAAUGAGAUUUCCAAAUUAUUAGCAGAGAGCCAAAAUCUAAAGCAACAAGUUUCAUCUGAGUCUCAGCGGGCAAACAAUGCUGAGAAUGAAUGCCAAAGCCUUAAGGACACCAUCUCAUGUUUGAUUUCUGAGAAGGACAAAGCCCUUGUGCAGUACAGCGAAUCCACCAAAAGAUUGUCUGCUUUAGAGACUGAGCUCUCUAAGGCACACAACGAACUCAAGAAACUCUCUGAUCAUAUGGACAGGGAAGUUCAGAAUGUAAACAGUGCUGAGUCAUGUAACAACACAAUGCAAUCCGAGCUUGAAACUCUGGGCCAGAAGAUCAUGAUGCAGCAGCAAGAACUUGCACAAAAUAGAAAAGAUCUGGUGGAUUCAAAGAGUGAAUUCGAGAGUGAGAUCCACUCCCUGAGGAGCACUGUCACACAAAUAAAUACUGAAAAAGAUGUGGCUCUACUACAACAUCAGCAGUGUAUUGAGGAGGUUUCUGAUCUGGAAUCCAAGCUCUUGAAGUCACAAUCAGAGCAGGAGAAGAUUGAACUGAAGGUACAAUUGCUGGUGCAAGAACUUGAACAGAAGAGAGAAGAGGCUGGUGCCAUACAUACUCGGCUGCAGGAUGAACACUUCAAUUACAUGCAAAAGGAAGCAGCUCUUCUUUCAAUGGAAGACCUGCAUUCCCAGUCUCAGGAAGAGGUUAAAAGGCUGGCACAAGAUCUUGAAUACUCCAACAAGAAAUUGAGUGACUUGGAAGCUCAACUUCUCUUUGCACAAUCGGAAACAGAGAAGAUUGCAAAUAAAGCCCAGAUACUGGAGCGGGAACUUGUAUGCAAGACUGAAGAAGUUAGUAUCCUUCAAAGUAGUUUGCACAAGGAAGGGCAGAAGUGCAUGCUUGCUGAAACAACUCUUCUCAGAGUGGAGAACCUACAUUUGCAGUCCCAGGAAGAAGCCAAGACACUAGCACAAAAUCUCGAAACCUUAAGCGAGAAGCUUAGUGAGGCUGAAAAUGAUAGGUUGAAUCUGCAGAACAUUUCACAAGAACUCAAGAACACCAUUUUGGAGAUGGAUUCUGAGAAAAACGCAAUGCUAGUUCAACAGCAGCAGUCCUUGGAGAGACUUUCUUAUUUAGAAGCACAUAUUUUCGAUGUACAGUCAGAUCUGGAUAAAAAUAAGGAGAAAGUCCAUUUGCUGGAACAAGAACUGAAACACCACAAAGAAGUGGUGGAUGGCCUUCACAAUAAUUUGGAGGAGGAAGGCCAUAAACGGAUGCAUGCCGAAGCAGAACUUAGGGUGGUGGCAAACCUGCAUUCUGAAUCUCAGGAAGAAGUGGGUAAGCUUGUUAUGGAUCUUCAAAAGUUAAACGAUGAGUUAAGUGAAGUGCAGGACAGCAAUCUGAUUGUGGAGGACUUAUUGUGUGAACUUAUGAACACCAUCUCUGUUUUGAAUACCGAGAAAGAUGCAGCACUUCUUCAACUGCAGCUGUCCUUAGAAAGAGUAACCGAUCUGAAGUCAGAAGUCUCGGAGACACAGUUGGAGGCAGAGAAAACUGAGGAGAAGUUGCAAGUACUGGAGCAAGAAUUUGCUCAGAAGAAUGUCAUGGUCGAUUUUCUGCAGUCAAGUCUGCAAGAUGAGGGCAAGAAACGUGUGGAAGCUGAGACAUUGCUCAUGUCAAAAGAGAAUCAAUACUUCCAAUCACAGGACGAAGUAAAUAGAUUGGCCCUGGAGAAUGAGACACUGAACAGAAAGUUGAAUGAGAUGGAGAACCUGUCUUUCAAGCUUAAGAACACCAUCUUGCUGCUGAAUUCCGAGAAAGACGCAACUCUUCUUCAGCACAAGCAGUACAUGGUAAAAAUAUCUGAUCUGGAAUCUAAGUUUUCAGUGGUGCAGGUUGAACUAGUGAAUGCUGAACAAAAAGUGCAAAUGCUUGAUAAAGAACUUGAGCAGAAGAAAGAAGAGUUUGAUAGCUUGCAGACUAGUCUGAAAGAUGAAGCCCAAAAGAAUGCUGAGGGUGAAACAGCUCUUCUCACGAUAACUAAUCUAUAUUCUAGUUCUCAGGUAGAAGUGAACAGGUUGGUCCUUGAGAUUAAUAAGCUGAACAGAAAGUUGGAUGAAGUGGAAAACGUGUCUUCCGAGCUCAAGAACACCAUCUUGCUGCUGAAUACCGAAAAGGACACAGCUCUUCUUCAGCACAAGCAGUCCUUGGUGAGAGUAUCUGAUCUGGAAUCUCAACUCUCUGAAAUGCAGGCUGAAGUAGAGAAUUCUGAACAAAAAGUGCAAAUGCUUGAUGAUGAACUCGAGCAGAAGAAAGAAGAGGUCAAUAGCUUGCAGACUAGUCUGAAAGAUGAAGCCCGAAAGCAUGCUGAGGGUGAAGCAGCUCUUCUCACAAUGACUAAUCUGUAUUCUAAUUCUCAGGAAGAAGUGAACAGGUUAGCCAUUGAGAUUAACAAGCUGAACAGGAAGUUGAAUGAAGUGGAAAAUGUGUCUUCGGAGCUCAAGAACACCAUCUUGCUGCUGAAUACUGAAAAGGACACAACUCUUCUUCAGCACAACCAGUCCUUGGUGAGAGUAUCUGAUCUGGAAUCUAAACUCUCUCAAGUGCAGGCUGAACUAGAGAAUGCUGAACAAAAAGGGCAAAUGCUUGAUAAAGAACUCAAGCAGAAGAGAGAAGAGGUGGAUACCUUGCAGACUAGUCUGAAAAAUGAAGCCCGAAAGAAUGCCGAGGGUGAAGCAGCUCUUCUCACAAUGACUAAUCUAUAUUCUAAUUCUCAGGAAGAAGUGAACAGGUUAGCCAUUGAGAUUAACAAGCUGAACAGAAAGUUGAAUGAAGUGGAAAACGUGUCUUCGAAGCUCAAGAACACCAUCUUGCUGCUGAAUACCGAAAAGGACACAACUCUUCUUCAGCACAAGCAGUCCUUGGUGAGAGUAUCUGAUCUGGAAUCUAAACUCUCUCAAGUGCAGACUGAACUAGAGAAUACUGAACAAAAAGGGCAAGUGCUUGAUAAAGAACUCAAGCAGAAGAGAGAAGAGGUGGAUACCUUGCAGACUAGUUGGAAAAAUGAAGCCCGAAAGAAUGCCGAGGGUGAAGCAGCUCUUCUCACAAUAACUAAUCUAUAUUCUAAUUCUCAGGAAGAAGUGAACAGGUUAGCCCUUGAGAUUAACAAGCUGAACAGAAAGUUGAAUGAAGUGGAAAACAUAUCUUCGGAGCUUAAGAACACCAUUUUGCUGCUGAAUACCGAAAAGGAAGCAGCUCUUCUUCAGCACAAGCAGUCCUUGGCGAGAGUAUCUGAUCUAGAAUCUGAACUCUCUGAAGUGCAGGCUGAACUAGAGAAUUCUGAACAAAAAGGGCAAAUGCUUGAUAAAGAACUCAAACAGAAGAGAGAAGAGGUGGAUACCUUGCAGACUAAGCUGGAAGAUGAAGCACAUAAGCACAUCGAAGUUGAAGCAUCUCUUCUUAUGAUGACAAAUAUGCAUUCUCAGUCUCAGGAAGAAGUCAGUGGGUUGGUUUUGAAGAUCGAGAGGCUGAAUGAUAAAUUGAAUGAAAUGGAGAGCAGUAAGUUGGACCUUGAGAGCAUGAUAUCCAAGCAUGCAGAGGACAACAGUAUCCUUGGUGAACAAAAUCUUUCUUCUGAAUUAACUAUCAGUGGCCUUCACGAUGAACUGGACAUGUUGAAGGAAAUGAAAGUGAAUCUAGAGAAUGAAGUGGGGCUCCACAUUGGUGACAAGGAGAUACUUCAGAGUCAAUUGACCCAUCAGAAGAAAGAGACAGAAAUUCUGGAGAAGCAGUACUGUUCACUGGAACAUGAGAUGGAAGCAGUAAACAGAAGUGCAGCAGCACUCCAGCAGUUACUCGAGGAAAAAACAUGUGAGAUGGAGAAGCUGUCAGACGAGUGUUUGAUCUUGAAGAAAUCAUUUUCAAAUGCAAUUGUUGAAACUGAAGCCCUGAAGGAGAUCAUAAAAGAACUGGAAGCUUCACAAAGCUCUCUGAAAUAUGAUGUUUGCUUGCAUAGUUCUGAGAAGGAUGCUCUGGCACGGGAUCUACAUAUCCUCAAUAAAAAAUAUGCUGAUAUUUCGGAGCAAAAGUCCAUGUUGGAGAUUUCAUUCUCUAAUGUGAAUUCUGAGAUAGGAGAACUGAGAAUGAAGUUAAAAGAUUCAGAAGAACUGUCCCGGUGUUAUCUUGCCAAUAACUCUGCUCUUCUUGCUGAAAAGGACAAUAUUCUGUUCCAGCUGGAGAGCGCUACACUGGCUAUGAAAUCUCUGGAGGACGACCAUGCUGAUCUGGGAGGCAAGAACUCGUCCUUGUUAGCAGAGAAAGACCUCUUAUAUAGUCAACUUGAGAAUCUACAAGAUCAGGUGGAAAUUAGAAAUGAACAGCAUGAAGCUUUGCUCAGGUUGCACCAAAUACAGAUAAAUGACUUUGAAGCGACAGUUUCUUCCCUGCAAGAGAAAAUCUGCCAUAUGGACGAGAUGCUUGAUCAAGAGCUGCAAGAUUGUACAGAUGCUUCUAUCAGUGCAUUGAUCUUGAAUAAUAGUUUGGCUGAUGUUAAAGACAAAAACUUUGCUCUCUUUGAUGAAUGCCAGAAGUUCAUAAAGGCCGCUGAUUCUGCAGAGGCAGUAAUAUCACGGCUCAAGGAGGAAGCCAAAAAUGAAGAAGAGGAGAAGGAAGUAUUGCUGAAACACAAUAAGGAACUAAGGGAGGGAAUCUCACAGCAAAUAAAGAUCCUCAAUGUCUGCAAGGACUUAGGACGUCCUAGUGUGAUUCAUGAUGAAAUUAUGCUUCAGACUUUGUCUCGUGAAACUUGCAACCAUGUAAAGCAUAAAGAGGAGAGUGAACAUAGAAAUGUCUUCAUGGAAGCUGAGCUAUCUGUUCUUGGAACAAUUCUUACAGAAAUAGUCAUUGACUUCAGAGAUCUGCACUUGCAGAAGUGUGAACUUGAGAAAGAAGUGGAGGCAGGUGCAGCAGAAUUGCUUUUUGCGCGGAAUGAAAAUCACAAGCUUAUUGAGCUGAAUGAACAGAUGUGCCAAAGGUUGCAGCAAGGUAGUGAGAAGGAGGAGACGUUGAACAUUGAACUCAGCAAUGGCAUGGCACGGUUAAUGCAGAAGGAUGAUGAGCUACACAAGGCAGAUGAGAAGAACCAAUUCUUGCAGGAGACAAACCAGGAAUUGUGCAGAGUUCUCAGGGAUCUUGAGGCUUCUGCUGAAGAUGCAAAAGGUGAACUUGAGGAGAAAAUCGCAGCGCUAACUGAACAAGGUGCUGUUAGGGAUAAUGAUUAUCUUCUUCUUUGCGAAGCUAACGUGGCGUUGCAAGGAGAUAUUGACACUCAUAAGCAGAAGGAAGAGAGUUUGGUGUCUACACUUGAGAUGGUGACAAAAGAGAAUGAGCAACAUGAAAGGGAAAUUGUUUCACUCGUGAGUGAUAUGAUAACUUGUUCGGUGAAUGUCAUGAUCUAUGAGGAACAUCUACUUGAGCUGAUGAUGGAAUGCGAGGCUCUUGAGAUCAGAAUGAUCACUGAAAAGGGAAUGCUAAUGAAAGAAAUCUCCUCAAGGGAUGCUUAUGUUGAUGAGCUGCACAGAAGGAUUGCCGUGAUGGGAGCAGAAACUGCAGAACUGAAGGCAGAGAUGAGCAGAUAUCUGCCACUUUUAGCAUCUCUGUCGGAUCAGAUAAGCAUGCUGGAGGGAGGCACCCAUUUACUUUCAGAUAAGGAAGGCAAUUUGGAGCUUGUACAAGAUGACAGACGUGGUUCAGAGUUCCUAGACAUACCAUCAGGAGUUUUGGAGUUGGACAGCUUGAUUGCAAGAGUUGAAGCACUCCGGGUUGUGAUAUUAGAUGUCAAGGACCGCCAAGAUAAGGAGUUUACUGAAUUCGCUGCUAAAUUGGAGUCGGCGAAUCUGGAAAUUCAAGAUCUUAAAUCAAGAAAAGGUUCAUGCAUUAGACACAAGGAACAAUACAUGGAGGAUGAUAGGCAAAAAUAUGACGCCGAUAACUCCAAAGGGAAGCAAGCACAGAUCAUGAAAGAUAUCGAACUUGACCAGGUAUCUACUUGCCCACCAUAUGGCUCCGGAGCUGCUGUCUACCCUCUUGGUGGUGAUGCAAAUGCAGAGCUUGAUGAUGAGAUGCUCCAGCUGUGGGAGACUGCUGAGAAAGAUUGCAAGAGUGGGACAGCCAAAUCCUCAUCAUCUGAACAUGACAUACAAGAGGUGGAGGAGGUGAAGAGUCAGUACACUUCCUUUGAAAUAGCAAGAGGAAGAGACCAAGGGAUCAACAGACUCGAGAUAUCGACAGCAACCCUGGAACCUCAGCAAUUAUGGACCAAAAAUGUCCUUGAGAAGCUCGCCACCGAUGCUCAGGGGCUGCUAAUCAUCCAAGCAAGCAUCGAGGAAGUGAAGCAGAAAAUCGAGGGAACUUCCAAGGGCAAAUCUCCCAUGAGCUCAGAGUACAGCAGUAUCAGGGCUCAGCUGCAGGAGAUCGAGGGCUCUGUCUUGGAACAGAUAGGUUUCAACAGCAGUUUGACGAAGAAGGCUGAGAAUUAUCCUGCAUUUGAGGUGAAUGCCGACCUAGAGGGCUAUUCCAGCAGAAGGAAGAUCUCCGAGCAGGUGCAGAAAGGGUCGGAGAAGGUCGCGAGGCUGGACCUCGAGCUCCAGAAGAUACAGUACGUGCUGCUGAAGCUCGAGGAAGAGCACGAGUUCAAGAGGGUCAAGGUCUCGGAGAAGCGUUCGCGGCUGCUCUUGAGGGACUACGUGUACGCAAAGAAGGACAAGAAUGACGCCGGGCAGAAGAAGAAGAGUAGGGUGCCCUUCUGCGGCUGCGUGCGCCCCAAAACAAUGACGGAGCCUUAA